GAUUUUUUUGUAACUGUAACUUUUGGUGUUUUUCUUUAAGCUUCAGCUCCUGGAGUGAAGCGAUUACACGAGAAUCUCAGCUUUUAUUUUAAAAGAGGUCAUUUCUAGCCCUCAUGGUUCUGUAGGAAAGCAGUUGAAUCAACUGACCAUAUGCAAUAUUACUGCAUUAUAAGAGUGAAAGCUAAUGACACCUUGGACACCGGAAAAUUCACACAUUACCUGGCAGCAGAGGGAGGAGUAGCACAUAUCCAUAUGUGCCUGCAAAAUGAGUAAAGCUUCACAGGAAAGAGAAUCAUCAUGUUCAGAGGAUGGAUGUGAAGAUUGAUGCUGAAUAUGUUCCCAUUAGAGGAAGCAUGCAAACAGUGGAAGAGUCUGGAGACUCCCACUCUUAAUAGAUCUGUGGUAUCAGAAAACACACUCCUCCUUCUCCUAGAUGUCUUCAGAGAGCACUUGGCCACCCACAUGCUCAGAGAGGUGAGACAAGAUUUAAGACUUUCUGAGACUAAGCCUUGCUAACUCUCGCCAGUAGCUGCUAUUUUUCUUAAAGACCAGCUCCUGGAGUCAUGACAAUCUCAGCUUUCAUUUUAAAAAUAAAGUAAUUAGUCCUGAUGGUUGUGGAGAAAAGCCAGAAAAUAUGACCCAAAUGUAAUCUAAAGGUUCAGUAGGCAAAGAACCCCAAACUGAUUAUUCUUUAAAAUCUCAUGAUGUUUUAGGGGAUUAACUCAUGAUUUUUGAACACAUGCUUAUGACAGUACUGCUGACUCUCCAUUACUGUAUACCUCCCCAGUAGCAGAGACCCAGUUUGUUUCAAAGGUAGGGAACAAGAAAUGACUGCCAUUACAGCUAUGGUGGAUUCAGAGUGAGCUAAAUGUCAGCUUUUGGACUCUAUGCUUUAUACAAUAUUAAUCCUGUGAGUUAAACAUACAGCUUGUUUCAGGACAGACUACCCUCAUCCUCAGCACAGCAAAACAGUUGUCUCAGUUUCAGCCUCUUGGCUCUCCCCACAUAGACCUAGGAGUUUUAGUUGACAUUCCCUCUCUUUAUUAAACCAUUCUAGAUUCAUAAGCAGUUCACUUGCCCUCCCAAGUACCAGUAAUUGCUUCCCUGAUCAGCAAGGUUUAAAGAAUAAUCCCAUCUGCCCUUGUAGGCCUAGGUAGGGUUGCCAACUUUCUAAUCACACAAAA